AUCCAGCUGACGAGUCCCAGAUAGCACGUAACACAUGUCAAACUGGAU
rfam:Schistosoma mansoni strain Puerto Rico chromosome 7, complete genome